UACGGAGGAUGCGAGCGUUAUCCGGAUUUAUUGGGUUUAAAGGGUGCGUAGGCGGACGCUUAAGUCAGCGGUAAAAUUGCGGGGCUCAACCUCGUCGAGCCGUUGAAACUGGGUGCCUUGAGUGGGCGAGAAGUACGCGGAAUGCGUGGUGUAGCGGUGAAAUGCAUAGAUAUCACGCAGAACUCCGAUUGCGAAGGCAGCGUACCGGCGCCCUACUGACGCUGAAGCACGAAGGCGUGGGUAUCGAACAGG
rnacentral:rRNA from 1 species